rnacentral:rRNA from 1 species
CGCCGCGUGAGUGAUGAAGGUUUUCGGAUCUGUAAAGCUCUGUUGUUGGGGAAGAACAAGUGCCGUUCGAAUAGGGCGGUACCUUGACGGUACCUAACCAGAAAGCCACGGCUAACUACGUGCCAGCAGCCGCGGUAAUACGUAGGUGGAAAGCGUUGUCCGGAAUUAUUGGGCGUAAAGGGCUCGCAGGCGGUUUCUUAAGUCUGAUGUGAAAGCCCCCGGCUCAACCGGGGAGGGUCAUUGGAAACUGGGGAACUUGAGUGCAAAAGAGGAGAGUGGAAUUCCACGUGUAGCGGUGAAAUGCGUAUAGAUGUGGAGGAACACCAGUGGCGAAGGCGACUCUCUGGUCUGUAACUGACGCUGAGGAGCGAAAGCGUGGGGAGCGAACAGGAUUAGAUACCCUGGUAGUCCACGCCGUAAACGAUGAGUGCUAAGUGUUAGGGGGUUUCCGCCCCUUAGUGCUGCAGCUAACGCAUUAAGCACUCCGCCUGGGGAGUACGGUCGCAGGACUGAAACUCAAAGGAAUUGACGGGGGCCCGCACAAG